ACCGAGAGCGCAUUAAGGAGCCCACCGGGCGGGGAGGCAGCUUCGUUACUGUCCCCGCCACGCUGGCCAGGAACGUCUCUGGCCCGGGAGCGUCUCUGGAGAACCGGAGAGUCAGGAGCUGCCGGGGAGGGGGUUCGGGGGUACACGCCACUGGCCCUGGUCCGAGGGUCCCCUGCCCCCCACCGCUCUGUUCCGGGGCCCCUCCUUCUUCCUGAUCCUGUCCGGGGCCCCUCCCCCCUCCCGGGCCUGCCUGGGGCCUCUCCCUCCCCCUCUACCCCUGGGUCCCCUUCCUAGGGGUCUGCGCCUGGGUGCUUUGGCAGCGUCCCGGCGCGGGGCUCUGGUGGCCACGGGGCGCCAAGGAAAGAAAGUCCCUCGCAGAACUGGCAGGAAGCUGGUCGGGCCGGGCGGAGGAGACGCGGGGCGCAGACGCGCACCCACAGCUGCCUGGAGUCGCCCGCACGGCGUAGGAGGGGGCGGGGCUGAGCCAACCCCUGUGUAUUAGACAACUCCUUGGGCGACCAGAGGACGCACGCUGGCUCAGGGCCACCCUGUGCACUGCGGGGUGUCCGGCGCCGGGAUUUAGGAGGGUAACUCCGCCCAGAGGUCUCGGAAGUGUGACUCAGGGUCUGAGGGGCCUAGGGCGCACCCACCCAUAAGUCCUGAUGACCCACCACCCAAAGGCGGAAAGAGCCACCUUUCCAGAGUGUCUGCAGGAAGCGCAGUUCCGGGUGUGGUGGGGGACACACCUAAGAACUUGCUGGGCUCCCGGAGGGGCCAGAAUGUGUGGAG
rnacentral:lncRNA from 1 species